GAUGAAGAACGCAGUGAAAUGCGAUAAGUAAUGUGAAUUGCAGAAUUCAGUGAAUCAUCGAAUCUUUGAACGCACAUUGCGCCCCCUGGUAUUCCGGGGGGCAUGCCUGUUCGAGCGUCAUUUCACCACUCAAGCCUCGCUUGGUAUUGGGCAACGCGGUCCGCCGCGUGCCUCAAAUCGACCGGCUGGGUCUUCUGUCCCCUAAGCGUUGUGGAAACUUUCGCUAAAGGGUGUUCGGGAGGCUACGCCGUAAAACAACCCCAUUUCUAAGGUUGACCUCGGAUCAGGUAGGGAUACCCGCUGAACUUAAGCAUAUCAAUAAGCGGACGA
rnacentral:misc_RNA from 1 species